rnacentral:rRNA from 1 species
UACGUAGGGGGCAAGCGUUGUCCGGAUUUAUUGGGCGUAAAGAGCGUGUAGGCGGCCAUACAGGUCAGCUGUGAAAACUCGAGGCUCAACCUCGAGACGUCGGUUGAAACCGUAUGGCUAGAGUCCGGAAGAGGAGAGUGGAAUUCCCGGUGUAGCGGUGAAAUGCGCAGAUAUCAGGAGGAACACCAGUGGCGAAGGCGGCACUCUGGGCCGGUACUGACGCUGAGGAGCGAAAGCGUGGGGAGCGAACAGG